rnacentral:misc_RNA from 1 species
UCUCCGUUGGUGAACCAGCGGAGGGAUCAUUACCGAGAGCAAACUCAUAACCCUUUGUGAACCUAUAUCUGUUGCUUCGGCGGCUCGCUCUCGGGCGAGCCCGCCGGUAAUAUCAGUAUCUCUGUUUGAACCCGACGAUACUUCUGAGUGUUCUUAGCGAACAGUUAAAACUUUUAACAACGGAUCUCUUGGCUCUA